CACACCGCUUCACCCUCCUCUGCCGCCUCUCCCUCAUCCACCCCUCCGUCCGUGCCCACACCCGCGCCCUCGCCCUCCAUCGCAUCGCCCUUGUACACCCCUUUGUCCAUGCCCUUCCUGAUCUCCUCCCCACCGUCGCCAAAUGGAGGGGUGGUGAAGGUGCAGGAGGAGCAGGGGAAGUAGGUGGAGCAAGCGGAGUCAAAACUGGAGUCGAAGAAGGCGCGGGGAACAAAGAGGAGGGACUGCGGAUGGAGGAGAGUUAGGGAGGAGACAAAUAAGGAGAGAACAAUUUGGUCAUUUUGUCGUUACAGUUAAUACUAUGACCCUUUUGUGAGCAUUUUUUUAUUUUUUAAGUAGGCAAAAUGUAGGUUCAAAAAUAAAAGUGAAAAAUCAAAUAUUAACAUAAAGUUUUCUAUAAUUUAGCCUAGAAUAAAAUGCUCCAAAUCCGUCCGGACCUGCCUCCAGAUUCAUUCCAUUUGCAUUCAUAGUAUAAACUAUUUACCAGGCAAAGGGUUUGGUGGUUGGUACCCGAGGUCCCAGAUUAGUAUAAAGUAUUUAAUAUGCUUGAAUAAUAAUGCAUGUUAUACCCAAUUUCAAAGCAAAUGAAUAUACGACUUGUGCUAACACUACAACAAAAAUGGUCUAUAGCGACACUUUUAAAUAUCGGUACAGGUCAAAAAAAGUGCUGCUGGCUAAAUUACCUACACUUUUAAAAAGUGUUGCUAUAUAUAGGGUCGCUAGGUAUAUAGUGACAAUUAAAGAGUGUCGGUAUAAGCCAAAAAGAGUGCUGCUAAUUUACUAACACUUAUUUAAGUAUUUAGCAACCGUCAGAACUCUAUCUUGUUGGCUGCGGUGGCGGAGGAUGAGGAGAGGGAGGGCUUUUCGUCUAGGAUUUCAGUGGAUUGAGUAGGAGGAGAAGUGGAGAUGGUAAUCGAUUUUUCUUUUUUCUUUUUUUUUUUCUUUUCUGUUUGUAAUCGGGUCGAAUGGGCUGGGUGGGGUGGGUUGAGUAGAAUAACUUUUUAUUUUUUGUUGGAUUGGGCUUUUUAUUUAGGCAUUAGUAGAUUUUUUUUUUAGUUUUGGCAUAAAUGGAACACUUACGCAAAAGUGUCCCAAACAUGUGUCGCUAUAAUCUAAUUCUGUUGAGUGUAAAAUAUUAUUUGAUUUAAAAUGUUCUCUCAA
rnacentral:lncRNA from 1 species